GGGCGCGAGGCCUGAGCGGUUUGUCGCGACAGGCCCUAAAAAACCUCUCUGUAUCAUUUAUUUCCCCAUUAAGUGCAUUUCAGUCGUGCAUUGAAGCUCGCGAGUGUAACUCCACCGACAACAUCCCCUGAAAAUAAAUUCCAAUUGACAAUUACGGGUGGCUAAUCAUUAGGAUUUAUUAUCACUCGACGAUGGCCUCUGAUCGAUCAGUGAAUGGUGAAUUAACCCGAGUUUUUGGGCUAGUUGAUAAUUGCUAUUGCUUUCUCAUGUUGCAGUAGUGGUAAGGGGAUGAUAAUGAUGGGGAGAUGAAAGGCAGACUUCUCCAGAGGGUUCAGGCCAUUUAUUGUGCGAAUUGUGCGCGCCCCGUGGAUUUUUAGGGGUCGGUUUUUUUUUGGGACGUCGUAACCGUCGGCUGUCUGUUCGGUUUUCGGGUUACUGGAGAUGGUGAGGAAUUAGAUAUGUCUGAUACUUCUUGGGGAUCAUCACUGUGCGCAAGGGGCGUACACAGGACCCGGAAGCGCACCGGAAACACUAUGAUCAUCUCCGUCGUCGUGAUCUUCACCCUGGGAUCUUUCUGCCGGAGUGUCGCCGGUGAAGCUGGAAAGCAAUAUAAAAUGGGCAUAAUUUGCAAAAAUCACUUUCUACGGGAUUUGUACAGAAAAAUUGAUGGGGCAGUGCUGUUAUCGCAGAAUGAGAGAAAUCUCAAUUGUGCCACGACAUUUCAGACGCACAGCAUUUUGCAGCGAUUUAUGCUGAGGUUCGAUCGAUUACAACUUGAUUGCAAUGAUCAUCUUUAUAUUUACGAUGGGGCCCACGCUGUCAGCAAUUACAAGGCGGACUUAUCCUGUCAAAACACCCACCUAAGUGUAGGUGCAAUAUACACCCGCACAAACUUUGUGACAUUAAAAUACGUAACCGACGGAUGGGGCAGUGAGACCAAUGGCUUCCAGCUUGUCAUCACCGCCGUUAAGGACGAAAGACACACGUGCAAGGAUUUCCGCUGUACCAUGAAUAUGUUCUGCAUCGACGAGGACCUAGUGUGCGACGGGGUAAAUCACUGUGGAGAUGGUUCAGACGAGGUCUCGUCGUCGGUGUGCGCCAACACCGAGGCGUCAACAAUACUCGGAAUGCAGAAGACUUGGUUUGCCGUUGCUCUGGUAUUUGGGCUUCUCAGUACAGCAGCUCUCGUCACUGCUGGGAUUUUGUGCUACUGCCGGAGACGAGGAACAACCCCUAGGCACUCGCACAACACCCACAACGCACAGAUGACCCACCCUCCGGUCAGCUUCCCAUUGCAACAGAUGCACGGAUCAAACGGUGCGAGCGCCGGGAUGCCAAUGGGCAUGACAACGCUCAAGGGCUCGAUGGGAACACUGGGCCCUAUCAGCAACAUGGGCCAUGUGGGAAUGGGGUACGGGCUAACGGGAGCAACGACACUACCACGGCCGGGAAACUGGCUGCCCCCUGCGGGCCUCAGGCUCGGGCACAGCGUGGCCCGGGUCCGCCUCUACUGCCAGGCAGAGUGAGGAGUCAUGGAUCAGACAGUGACAUUUCCUCCAGCCAAAAGGACGAGUGGUUUGUGUAGAGGCAGACCUGGACCAAAGCCCGCAGGGUGAACCGGGGACGUUGGGUGCCCUUGGCCACGUCCCCCAGGUGUCAACUAUCACCGCUAAGACUAAUAUAUCAGCUACAAAGUUAUCGUACCGUGCGCCACGCAACACAUCGACAUUAUCACUGCCCUAUAGAGAUGCGCAAGAGUUUGUUGAUUCCAAAACUAAUUAAUGCACCCAGUGGCAUAAAACUUUGCACAAAGAAAAAAUGUUCCUUGAUGGUACGAAAAAUUCUACCGAUAACAAAAAAAAAUAAAACAAAUCUCCAGAUCCAUGGAGACUAUUCUCUCAAAUCAUCACAACAUCUUGAGUCACUCCACAUUUUUCUUGCUCUUAAAACAAUUCAAGGAGAAAUUUAAAUUAAACCACGAAAAAGUUUGGGAAACUAUUGGAAUUUGAACUUCAAUGAAGUUUCUCUAGAUUUGAUAGAGAAGUAAUUGGAGAUUUAUGGAAUCGGUGGAUAAAAGAUGUUUUCCUAUCAUCAAUAAAUUUUUUUGUCUUUGUGGAUGAUCUAGAGAUGCUUUCCGUCGGUUGAGUUCUCCGAUAGUAGUAACGGGAGAUCUCAAUGAAAUCUAGUGUGAAUAAUGUAAUAACGAAUUUACCUAUUCCCUCUUGCUCCACUAGACCUUAACGAUUGUUUUAUGAGAGCAGUUGGUUCGCUCUAACCUUCAUUUCAUCACGAUUGAGUGAUGAAAUAGUGUGACAAUAUUUUUGGGUGAGUUAAAAUGAGAUAAAUUGGCGGGAUAAAUUAUAGCGAUGGCCACGCGACGAGAUUCAUUAACUAAACAAUUAUCCUUGAGUAAUAUAAAUAAGUAUAUAUGUACGUACUAUCAGAAGAGAUUCAUUAGUGAUGAAAUAUUAUUGAAUUAUAAAGUGAAUGAUUCCAGACAGACCACGUGUGAAUUCGUAUACCAGAAGUAGAUGAUUUCAUAUUUAAAAUGAAUGAGAAAAAAAAAAAUAAGAAAUAGCUAAAAUCGUAUUGUUGAAUUGGAUAAAUAAAUAGUUUUGCCAUGUAUUUCGAUGUAUUUUAUGAGAUGUUAGAAGAAACAGAGGGGAAAUGAUGAAUUUGUUUCAUAUCAUGUUGAGACGUGACGUGAAUUUUCUGUAGGUAGUGAUCGCUGCUUCUUCAGAAUUCUUGUAGCAAAGGGACUAUUAAUCAUAUCAGUUGAAUGGAGAAUAUAUUCUCGAAUCAAGAAUAUCAUCCAUGAUUGAGUUUCAUCGGUGAGCAGUCGAUUUUAAGGUAAAUUAAGACGUAUCAUCUGCCAACAUAUCUGAGAAAUAAAUCAGAGCAUAUCAGAAUGUUCCAAUAAUCCCCCAAUCAAUCUCCUCAACACCCAGCAACUUUAAUCCCCUGGGAAUUAUAGUAAUCAUUGAUUGGUUAAUGAAUCCUUGACGAAAAUCCUUUUUUUUCCUGGUGUACAAGGGAAUGACAGAUAUUUGCCGAUUUGUUUUUUCGUUUGUAUGGGAAAUAAUGGAAAUCUACGAUUACACGUCCAUUUACCAAUUAGUCUUUCUUCGUUAUUCAUGAACUUAAUACAAUGACCGCAUGCUAAUCUUUCGGAUAUAUCUGCAAAGAGAAAAUUGUCACGUAUGUGGUGUGUGUUUACCGAGUGUUGUGUGUGGUUCAAAGGUGAAAUAACAAAUAAUUCUCUGUAAAUAUCGUUUCACAGUUUUUAUAGACUGAAUCCCCGAUUCUAAUACAGAUUGUGCAUCGAGUGGAUGCUCGUUAAUUACGAAUUUAUUUUUCACUGGAUUUUUGAUUGAUCGUUUAACAUUUUAUUUUAUCAAUGAGAGACCAUUGACACAAUACCGAGAGUAACACAGCGUAAAUUUAAUGAAAAAUGUACAUAAUAAGAUACUUGCAUUUAAUACUCAUUAAGCUUCAUGCCGUCUUCAUACGAUACCGAAUAUGUGAAUUAAAUGGGUGACAUUAAAUCUGUACUGAUCAGAGACCCAAUGAGUGGUUGAGUAAUCGAUGAAUUAAUGAUUAAUAAAUUGAGAUUACAGAUGGGAAUAAUUCAUUCUUGCUGGAGGAAUUUUCAGUCAUUUCGGGGUAUUCGAUUUGUUUACGAGUGUAGAUUUGCUUGUACGUGGAUUUUUUAUGGGCCCAAUUCAGGAGAAGAAUUCAAUAGCAAAGGGGUUGACUGAGAUGAGUCUAAUUUAAGAUUUCUGUUUUGAUUUUGUAGUCAAUUAAGGAUUUAUCGAAAACAGUCGAUUUGAGGGGAAAAUAGUAGAGAACUUUUUUGUAGCUGAUUAAAUUUCCAAUAAAUAAUUAUUUUUCACAUUUCCUCGUAGAGUCAUCGGUUUUGCAGAUAAAUCGACAACUAAAAUUCGAUUUAUUCCAUUUCUCCACUUCGGUAGUGAAUUCUUAUCAUAGGAAACGAUCGACAUACCUUGGAAACUAGCGAAUUAAAGGGAAAACUGUAGAGGACUUUUAGGGUGUUAAUUAAAUUUCCGAUAAAAAAGAUCUUUUCGUAUUUUUUGCUAAAAUCGAUAGGUCUCUUCAUUUUAGCCCGCGAAUUACGUAAAUUCCUUUGCGGCCACGCUAUUCUAGUUUCUUGGGAACAAAAAAACGUUUCUUCAGAUUCAGUCAAUUAAAAGGAUUAGAAGUAAGAAUAAACAAUAAGUUACCUGCAAAUUCGGAAAAUUGACUAGUGCAUAUGUAGACUCUCCUUGAAAAAAAAUCUAAAUCCUCACCUCGUCCCGUUAUUUUCACGCGUCUGCAAGAGAGCAAGUAAAAAUGAUAAACCAGUGUGCCCACAAUUGAGAGACUAACAAUUUAAUUAAAUCAGUACAUGCAUGAAAGAGAAUCAUAGAAAAACGUCGUCGCUUUUUAAUAACUCCACUUCCACAAAAUCUAUUCACUUUUUACUAUCAAAUAAUCUCUCAACAGAAUGACUCGUUGAAAUAAUUUCCAAGAAUCAUAGGAAAAGCGAGUAUAAUAGCAUAAUUUUAAAUAGAACUCUAUUAUAAAUUCAAGAUAAAUGAUAAUCUCGCAGAGAAAGCGCUAGACUAUUAUUUCUUAUAAUUUUCUUUCACGCGUGCGACUGAUUGAAUUUUGAUGAUGUGGAUUUAUUCACAUUUAGACAACACGAUCAGUAACAGUCGAUUGAUUUACGACUGGUAUACAAAAUGAGAGACAUUACCUGUGCAAUAUGUUUAACAAAAAAAAUAUCUGAAACAAUUAGACGAGCAUAAUGUUGUUUCUUUCAUCGGUUCACUCCUAUAUGUUCACUGUACUAUAAAACAUGAAGGACUAAGGACUAAUCAUUUAUAUUAUAAGUGGCACAGUUGAUUUCCAAUGAAGCGAUCUUCGGUCACUGUAGAUGAUGAGGGAAUGAUAAUUAUUAAUCAAAAGUUAUCGUAGAUUGACACAAUUGUCAUUAAAAAUAAACUGCAGAUUGUGGCA